rnacentral:rRNA from 1 species
GAUGAACGCUAGCUACAGGCUUACCACAUGCAAGUCGCGGGACCGGCGCACGGUUGAUUAACACGUAUCCAACCUGCCCUUUACUCUGGGCUAGCCUUUCGAAAGAAAGAUUAAUACCCGAUGUAAAGGAUGGGGAUGCGUUCCAUUAGGUUGUUGGUGAGGUAACGGCUCACCAAGCCUUCGAUGGAUAGGGGUUCUGAGAGGAAGGUCCCCCACAUUGGAACUGAGACACGGUCCAAACUCCUACGGGAGGCAACAGUGAGGAAUAUUGGUCAAUGGGCGUUAGCCUGAACCAGCCAAGGAGCGUGAAGGAUGAAGGCUUAUGGGUCAUAAACUUCUUUUAGAAAAGAAUAUGUAUUAAAUGAAUAAGGAUCGGCUAACUACGUGCCAGCAGCCGCGGUAAUAC